rnacentral:rRNA from 1 species
GUGGGGAAUCUUGCGCAAUGGGCGAAAGCCUGACGCAGCCAUGCCGCGUGAAUGAUGAAGGUCUUAGGAUUGUAAAAUUCUUUCACCGGGGACGAUAAUGACGGUACCCGGAGAAGAAGCCCCGGCUAACUUCGUGCCAGCAGCCGCGGUAAUACGAAGGGGGCUAGCGUUGCUCGGAAUUACUGGGCGUAAAGGGCGCGUAGGCGGACAGUUUAGUCAGAGGUGAAAGCCCAGGGCUCAACCUUGGAAUUGCCUUUGAUACUGGCUGUCUUGAGUACGGGAGAGGUGAGUGGAACUCCGAGUGUAGAGGUGAAAUUCGUAGAUAUUCGGAAGAACACCAGUGGCGAAGGCGACUCACUGGCCCGUUACUGACGCUGAGGCGCGAAAGCGUGGGGAUCAAACAGGAUUAGAAAACCCAGUAGUCC